GGAGCUCAGGGGUAGAGAAUCUGCCUUGCAUGCAGAAGGGCCCAGGUUCAAUCCCUGGCAUCUCCA
rnacentral:tRNA from 1 species